UGCCGCCAUGUUUCCUGAACACAAAAUGGCGACACGUGGUUAGCAUUCGUCGCCAACGAGAAAUUGGGGUCGGCCCGAAAGCUCUAGAAUGCACCCCCCUUCUUCCCCGGGGCCUUCCACCUCCGCGAGUUUUAUGACUUAAAAAACCCCACAGGCUGGUCUGAAGAGGAAGACAAACAUAAAGAUGAAGUGCUUAAUUCAAGGUCACACAAUGUCGGGGAUGGACCUCCAGAUUUCCUUACUGACCUGCAUUAUCUUGUGGAUACCUGAGUGAAUUCCACACCACCCAUUUUAUAGAUGAAACCACUGAGACAUGGAGCAACUGACUGAGUAGUCACUGCCCCACCCCUGCCUGGAGCCUCACACAUGACUCGUCUCCUCUCAGUGACCACAGGUUGGUUGAGGGGUUUAACAAGGCUAAGAAGUACUUAUCCUGUAUUACAUGAAGGAAAUGAAAUAAAAAGACUGCAACCCCACUCCCAGCUACUCAGUGAGGUGGUAGCUAGAGACGGAGUCUUGCUAUGUUGCCCAGGCUGGUCUUGAACUCCUCACCUCAAGCGAUCCUCUCGUCUUGGCCUCCCAAGUGUCAGGAUUACAGGCAUGUGCUAUCACACCCAACCUGAUACAUUGCCUUUAUAAAUUUUUUUUUCUUUAUUCUAAAAACCAGAAAAAACAAAACUGGAUACAUGUGCAGAACAUGCAGGUUUGUUACAUAGCUGUACGUGUGCCAUGGUGGUUUGCUGCACCUAUUGACCUAUCCUGUAAGUUCCCUCCCCUCACCCCCACCCCCCAACAGCCCU
rnacentral:antisense_RNA from 1 species